UUGAUCGGUCCGCUGAGUUGAGGGCCCGCCCCGUUUUUUGCAGCAAAGCUGCAUCAUUGGCUGCAGCUGGUGUCCGUCAUCCUGUACAACACUCCGUCGUCACUCGUAACCUUUGACGUUGGAGUACCAUUAGCCAGCUGUUACAAAUCGCGUCACUCUCUCGCCAGCUGAUCGGAGACACCGGCAAGAGUGGGAACCGACAGAAGGAGCAGCAGCAGCGGGAGCAGGAGCCUGUCCGCGGGGUGUGCAGACUGCGGAGCUGGUGGAUGACAAAGCAUGAAGUUUGUCUAUAAAUGGUGGCUAACCUACAGCAGUUCUUCUCUGGCAAACUUUAUGUUCCUGUCCACAUGCUAAAGCUGCCAGCUGAAGAACUGUUGUGGUCAGCUAUGUCCUGCAACCCCCUUUAGAAAAUGAAGUAAUGAAGCAUCUUGAAGCAUUUACCACCCAAAGCAAAACCAGUGUGUUUGUGAGAACUUUUGUAAAUGCAAAGUAUAAAGCAAUAUUAAAGACAAAUAUGCAGCAUUACACACUGUAUGUAUUCAUUUGAAGAGAUCAAGUUGAUGCACCAACAUUUUAGUUUUAGUAGAAAUAUCUGUUGGAAAUGUUGGUCUGUUUUUAGCCAAAUAAAACCAAGCACCUCAAAUAAAGCCUGAUUUAUACAUGUAUGUCACUCACAGGUUGCAGAAUAAUUUAAGCCAUGCACAAAACUCCAUAAUGAGCCAGCAUAUCCCUUAAUUCAAUCACAUCACAGGAAAUAGACAAGGAGAGUGAAAGCCAGUCUGGAUAGCUGGGAUUAUGUGGGAGCAGGGAUUGAAAGACAGUGAGGGUUUGGUAAUCUGAGUGCCAGAUUUGUGUUAAUCCAGGCGAGGCACUCCGGGUGAGCUGUCUCUUCCCCAGACAGGUACUGUCCAAUCUGAUUAUGCACCGUAUCUGCUUUGUGUCUGCAUUAAUAGCUGUGUGCACUGCUUUAAUGACUUCACUUAAGAUGAUGUGAAAAUUGCUGUUUUCUUUAAACCUUGCUGUUAUUCAUGCUUCAAUCUAUGUAAUGUGAUUUUUAAUUAUAUAAAGAUGUCUUGAAAGAA